GGCAGCACCGGGAGAGCGACCCGGCAGCUGGCAGAUAAAGCCUCCUUGGCACGAGCGAUUACCAGGGAGAGCUUUCUGCGAUCUUUAGAUGUCUUAAAACACAUGGAGUAUUUGACUCAAAGGUAUGUGCCGUUGCGAGCUUUGUUAUACGUAAUCGCAUCGCUCGGGGCAAACAUCGUUUUCCUCGCGGUUCCGUGGUCCCA
rfam:Synechococcus sp. WH 8102 complete genome.